rnacentral:misc_RNA from 1 species
CCGAGUUACAACUCCCAAACCCCUGUGAACAUACCACUUGUUGCCUCGGCGGAUCAGCCCGCUCCCGGUAAAACGGGACGGCCCGCCAGAGGACCCCUAAACUCUGUUUCUAUAUGUAACUUCUGAGUAAAACCAUAAAUAAUCA